rnacentral:lncRNA from 1 species
UCUCUGAAUGAUUUUUUUAAUAUAAUUUAACUUUGAUCUCGAAACCGUCAGCUAUGGCGACUACACUGAUGUUACGAUUGUUCUGUACAGACUGCUGUUUUGGUUUUCAACCACCAAAUCUAUAAAUGUGGUUUUGAGGAAACCUAAAAUUAUAUUACAGAACACAUGUCUUGUUUUCAAAUAAAAAAACCCAACAUAAAACAACAAAUAUGAUAAUUUAAUUCAUGUUACAUGUAUUAAAUAUACAUGUGAGGGCGUUAGCUCGUAUGAGUGUAUCUAAUUUACACCAAGAUAUCAUUGUCAAGGCAAAAUAGUUGCUUUCAAAAGUUCAGAAGGGGGUCAUAAACGACUUGACCAUAUGAAUACAACCACUGGGUCGAUGCAACUGCUGGUGGAGAUGUAUUUCCCCGAGGGUAUCACAAGCCCAGUAGUGCUAAUUGUCAUUGAUAUGGUUAUAUUUAUUAAUCAACUGUUUACAAAAUUUUGAAUUUUUUGAAAUACUAAGGUUUUUCUACCUCAGGCAUAGAUUACCUUAGCUGUAUUUGGCAAAACUUUUAGGAAUUUUGUUCCUCAAUGCUCUUCAACUUCGUACUUUAUUUGGCCUUUUUAACUUUUUUGGAUUCGAGCGUCACUGAUGAGUCUUUUGUAGACGAGCGUAUAUACAAAAUUUAGUCCUGGUAUCUAUGAUGAGUUUAUUUAUUGAAAAACCAUAUUAAAUGUAGGGUAACCAAUUUCAUUUAACGACAUAUUGGUGUAAAUAGCGAUAUAUCAUUUCUGUGACUUGACUGUAAGUGUUGCUCUUCGCCUAUUGCAGUUGAUUCAAAAUGCCGACCCAACUGCAAUUGGUUUUAUCAAACCAAACUGUUCAACAGAAAUGCAAUAUUGUAAUAGCAGUGAAUAGAAGUGUUUAAGUUUUAUAGGAUUGUAGGCAUGUUUUAUUUCAUUUUGACUAUGAUGAUUCGACUGUGGUUUUCUACAGCAGUUUGGUAAAUUUCACUAGCCCAACAGUUUGAAUAUUUGUUUUAUAAAAUUAAUAGUUCAUACAAUAGGUGAUUGAUGAAGCGUGAAUGUAAUACACAGGGCUGCCUUAUGCCCAACGUCAUAAUGAUACUUUAUGAUGAGUUAAUUUGUCAUAAGGUAAACGCAGAUCGGUUGCAGUCUGCCAAAAACAUGUCCUCCUCUUCAACAGUCUUGAAAACAUUCAGGUGUCUGAAAUAUGUAGAAAGGCACAUUAAGUUAUUAAAUAAAUCAGUUUAUCAAUCAAUCAAUCAAUCAAUCAAUCAAUCAAUCAAUCAAUCAAUCAAUCAAUUAAU